AUUGAACGCUGGCGGCAGGCCUAACACAUGCAAGUCGAGCGGAUGAAGGGAGCUUGCUCCUGGAUUCAGCGGCGGACGGGUGAGUAAUGCCUAGGAAUCUGCCUGGUAGUGGGGGAUAACGUCCGGAAACGGGCGCUAAUACCGCAUACGUCCUGAGGGAGAAAGUGGGGGAGCUUCGGACCUCACGCUAUCAGAUGAGCCUAGGUCGGAUUAGCAAGUUGGUGGGGUAAAGGCCCACCAAGGCGACGAUCCGUAACUGGUCUGAGAGGAUGAGCAGUCACACUGGAACUGAGCCACGGUCCAGACUCCUACGGGAGGCAGCAGUGGGGAACAUUGGACAAUGGGCGAAAGCCUGAUCCAGCCAUGCCGCGUGUGUGAAGAAGGUCUUCGGAUUGUAAAGCACUUUAAGUUGGGAGGAAGGGCAGUAAGUUAAUACCUUGCUGUUUUGACGUUACCUACAGAAUAAGCACCGGCUAACUUCGUG
rnacentral:rRNA from 1 species